AGCAGCUGAGCCGGCAGGGCAGGGCAAGGAAUAGCUGGGAGGUGCUCAGAGGCGCUGCUGCUUUAACUAUGCUGGGAGAGGCAGAGGAACAGAAAUUCAAAUGUGAAAUGGACUGAGGAACAGCAGAGAGACAAGGUGGGCGAGGCGAGAAUACAACAAAUGAGAAACAGAUCAUCAGUCUGCAACAUUUCAUAGCAUGCCACACACUUCCCAGAAUACAGCAGAAUGAGCAGAGAGAAAAAAAACCUGUUCACAGCCUGUUCCUAUUACACAGACCUUAUGAAGAAAAGGAAAAAGAAAAGGCAGCAUUUUCAUUGCCCAAAAAUGUCCUACCAAUCUGCCAGGUGGUAAGGAGCACUGCAGACGUCAACUCCCACAGGGAGUUCUGUUUGAAAACCAAUGGCACAAUAUGAUUCAGACACUGCAGGCAGGCACUAUGCAAAGUUCUGCACACAGCUUUUUGGCAAUGGUCCUAUGGUACAUCCUGACCUGCAACACGCCUGCUCGUCUAGUCCUUGGCAUCUAUGAAGAGCAGCAGCUGCCAACCCUGCCAAAUUGUGUACAUGUAUAAUUAUGGUCAGAUUGUACUUUUCCUUGUUAGAUAGGAAAACAA